UAUAAAAAGGGUUCAAAUCUCAAAAUCGCAUCGAGUCCGAGAGCGCAAUCCUCCUUCAAAAUUGAACUCCUCUCAUUCUCUUAGCUUCGAAUUUUUUUUUCAUCGAAUCCAAAGGGUUUUCAAGGGUUUAACCUAAAACCUAACUUCAAACCCUAAAUUUCCCAAUUUUCUUCUCGAUCUUACACUCACUCUCACCAUCUCCAAAAUUCCGAACCGAUUCUUUUUCACCUCACGCCAUUAGAUCUAAUCAAGAACUUCCAAUCACUGGAGUGACAUUGGUGAGAUUUAGUUAUUGGUGAGUUUUGGGAAUGAGCCAUGAAGAAAAAUAGUGAUUUCGGGAAUGUUUUGUUGGUUUUUCGAGUGAUAUGAAGUGCUGAAUAUGAGCAAUGGCAGUGCGAAGACUGGAAAACAGAUUGAAGAACCUAACACCACAUGGAAGAGGCGGAAAGUGGGUGGUGGUGAUGAAUUUGCACAAGCUAUUGCGAAAAUUGCAGUAGCACAAGUAUGUGAGAGUAAGGGUUUUCAAGGAUUUCAGCAGUCGGCACUCGAGGCAUUAUCGGACGUUACUGCACGGUAUAUUUUGAACAUUGGGAAGUCCGCGAAUUGUUGUGCUAAUCUAGCUGGUAGAAAUGAAUGCAAUAUUUUUGAUGUCAUUCAAGGGUUGGAAGAUUUGGGGUCAGUGCAGGGGUUCACUGGUGCUUCGGAUAUUGAUCAUUGCCUUGAAGAUUCAGGUGUUGUAAGGGAAAUCGGUCAGUUUGUUAAUGAGGUUGAGCCAGUUAUGUUUAAACAUCCAAUUCCUCCGUUUCCGGUUGUGAAAGAACGGGUGCUGCCUCCGAGUUUUUUGCAAAGAGGAGAAGAGCCUCCCGAUGAUCAUAUUCCAGCGUGGUUGCCUGCAUUCCCUGAUCCACAAACUUAUUCGCAGUCACCUAUGAUGAAUGGAAGAGGGACAGAACCUCGUUCUAUCAACUAUGAGCAUGAAAGAGAGAAUGACAAGGGGGAUCAGUCUCUGUUGAAUUCGCAGCAGCAGGCGGUCUCAACAAAGUUUGAAAACUCCACCAUGAAUGAUCCUGCAGUUGCUAAGGCAAAGAGAGUAGCAGAAGAAAGUAACCCUUUCCUUGCUGCACCUUUGAAAAUUGAGGAUAAGGAAGUUGCUUCUGUUGCCCCUCCAGCUAAAUUCUUUAAUAAUGCAGCUUCUGAUAUUCCCAAUGUUCCCAUUGUGGAAAAUUUUGUUGAAAAUGAACUCGUUUCAGUAUUGGAGACCUUUGCUCCACCAAUUGAAGCGAUAAAUAGCACAUACUGUGAUUCCAAGGAUGAUCAGACAAAAUUUCCUGUCAAAGAGAAGCCUACUGUAUGCUUUAAGGUUGGGACUAAAAGAAAAUUCUUAGGAAGGUCCAUGGGUUUGAUUCCACAAAAAGAGGAGCAUACACAGACAUUGCCGUGGUUUGCGAUGGAAGACGAGAAGGAUGACAGGAAAAGAAGAGCCGAGAAAAUUUUGAGGGAAUCUUUAGAAAACCCAGAUCAUCUUGUUCAGUUGUAAAAUAGAUUGGUUUAUUAGAAUCUAUAUACUUGAUUAUGAGAAUAUCAGGAACACUACUUCUGGGAUAUUGAAAUCUAGCUAACUGUCUGCUUAUGGGCAUUAUAGGAUGUUACUAUUAUGCUCAGACAUGUUCCUAGUUUAACAAUCUUUCAGAUGUACUGAUAGAUCAUUCGCAUUCAUUCAGUAAGUUUCACAAGGCAUUCUCAUGCUUUAAGGAAGUCGAUGAUUAAAGAAUUCUCUCUUAAAAUUAAUUGACAUGAAAUGCAAAUCAAGUUUCAUUCUCUGAACCAGGCGUGUAAGCACAUCUUGAUAACACUAAAUUGGAGCAAUUUGUUGUUUAUGAAAUGUGCAUUGGGAAAAGUUGAGAUUCACGGCUAGGAUGUGCGUCACGCCACCACUCCAGUUUGUAGCUUCGUGAAUUUGCAGUAAAAUAUGCUGUGGUACACGAGAUAGGCUAUAUCUUAACUCGGUUCCAAACACAAUCAGAAGGAAGUGUUAGUAAACAUCAAAUUUUGUGAUAUUUUGUUAUACUAACCCUGGUCUGUGUCUCCCAUUAUCUUAUUUUGAUCAAUGUCAACUGUCUGUAGGAACUUAUCUGUUCGUGUGAUAUUAAACUUUUUGCAACAUUGCAGAAUUAAGGGUUGCUUAAGGUGAAAACAUAAAACGGAGAUGAAGAAUUGACUCAUCGGUUACAUAAUAAUAACAUAACUCAGGUUUGAUUGAAUGAACAGACCGAAACCUCUACUCGGCUUUGAUUACAAGGAAAAUACAGUAAACAAGAAGGCUGGAGAAGGAUGGAGUUAUCGAGUCUCAACCUACGCACUUCAUGGCACCAACAAAUUCCAGGUUACAUAGUUUAUCAUGUCAUCACUGCCACCAAAAGAGCCAUUGGCGUGCUAGUUCACAUGCGAUGAUCAAAGGGUUGUCACCAACAGAGCUGCAAUGGAUGUGUGCUAGAAAUAUUCAUCUUGUGGUAAUUGCAGAUGUGUGUAGUGAAAAAGAAAAGAAAUUCCACAAAAUGGGUGUAGUGCAUAACCGACCUGGUUCUUAGUAUUUAGAUUUAUGAAGGAAAGCGUGUAUGGAAGGUUUACAAUCCAAGCUCACUUUUUGAAUUCAUUAUAUGUGCCAGGCCCAAGCCUUUAAAACACAAACACAACUUUUUCUUUGUCGCACCAUUGAGAAGGAAUCUUAAAAGCAAUCAAAUUUGAAUGAAAGGUCGUUUUCUGUUGUUUC